AUUGAACGCUGGCGGCAUGCUUUACACAUGCAAGCCGAACGGUAACAGGCCGCAAGGUGCUGACGAGUGGCGAACGGGUGAGUAAUGCAUCGGAACGUGCCCAGUCGUGGGGGAUAACUACUCGAAAGAGUAGCUAAUACCGCAUACGAUCUAUGGAUGAAAGCGGGGGACCGUAAGGCCUCGCGCGAUUGGAGCGGCCGAUGUCAGAUUAGGUAGUUGGUGGGGUAAAGGCUCACCAAGCCAACGAUCUGUAGCUGGUCUGAGAGGACGACCAGCCACACUGGGACUGAGACACGGCCCAGACUCCUACGGGAGGCAGCAGUGGGGAAUUUUGGACAAUGGGCGCAAGCCUGAUCCAGCAAUGCCGCGUGCAGGAAGAAGGCCUUCGGGUUGUAAACUGCUUUUGUACGGAACGAAACGGCUCUGGUUAAUACCCGGGGCUAAUGACGGUACCGUAAGAAUAAGCACCGACUAACUACGUG
rnacentral:rRNA from 1 species